AUUGAACGCUGGCGGCAUGCCUUACACAUGCAAGUUGAACGGCAGCGCGGGAGCAAUCCUGGCGGCGAGUGGCGAACGGGUGAGUAAUAUAUCGGAACGUGCCCAAGAGUGGGGGAUAGCCCGGCGAAAGCCGGAUUAAUACCGCAUACGCCCUAAGGGGGAAAGUGGGGGACCGCAAGGCCUCACGCUCGUGGAGCGGCCGAUAUCUGAUUAGCUAGUUGGUGGGGUAAGAGCCUACCAAGGCGACGAUCAGUAGCUGGUCUGAGAGGACGACCAGCCACACUGGGACUGAGACACGGCCCAGACUCCUACGGGAGGCAGCAGUGGGGAAUUUUGGACAAUGGGGGCAACCCUGAUCCAGCAAUGCCGCGUGCGUGAAGAAGGCCUUCGGGUUGUAAAGCACUUUUGUCCGGAAAGAAAUCCCCUGGGAUAAUACCCCAGGGGGAUGACGGUACCGGAAGAAUAAGCACCGGCUAACUACGUGCCAGCCGCCGCCGUAAAAC
rnacentral:rRNA from 1 species